rnacentral:lncRNA from 1 species
CAAACCUAUUAAUAUAUUAUUGUUUUAUUAUAACCAAAAGACAUUAUGACAGCAGUUUGGUUUGAUUGAGCACUUACUGUGAUUGGAUGUAACUAUUUUAUUUGGGGAAAGAAUAAUAUAAUAUUUAGGUCAUUGCAAUCUACAGCAGUUUAUGACAUCAAUGUUUUACAUUGAUAAGCUGGUUAUGGAGUUAUUAGUAUGUUACAAAGAAAAUGUUUUCCAAACAAUAAAGACAUCAGAAUGUUUUUGUAGAAGUCACCUCCACUAUAUACGGAUCCUGCAACAAAUAUUAACAUGGGCAUGCGUCAGAAUAUUCUCACUUUCAUUUUCCGCAAUAUAAACAAUCCAUUGAAAAACAAACUUUCAAUUUCCAUAAUCUAAAAACUUCAUUGAAAAACAAACCACCGUCAUACUUGUUGGCGUGACUACGUGCAUCUUAGUAAGCGUUAGAUGCCUAAGACCAUGCUCCACACCAGGGGACAAUUUCAUUUCAUCAAAAACAAAAAUUCAAAAAGGGUAUAGAAUAGGAUAUACUCACUGUAGGCCUUGUUUACAAAACAGAAUAAUUGAAAAGAUAUGUAAUUUAUUCCAGCUAGGAAAGACGGGGACUUCUAAAAGACCAAGUAAUUCACACUUAUCAUACUGAUCAAGCUUGAGUAUCUUUAUAAAAAUAUCAACAAACAAACUUUCACAAUAAAUUAAGAGUACAAUUUAGUAUUUAGUGAAUGUAAACCCUCAGAGUUUCUAGACUUAAUAUAAUUUGAGUACACUGUAAAGGAGUUCUAAGUUCUAACAUAAAGAUCCACAUGUCAAGCAGGAGAUAUAACAAUGUCAAGCCUGUCAAGCAAGAGAUAUAACAAUGAAUGGACUAUGCAGCACAUUACGUCUAUUGUAUGGGGAGGAUUGAACACUGAUGAAAAUAUAGUUGAACAUGUUAUGGUUUACAUUAAAAUAUACAUGUUUUCACCUGAAAUAAUACGGUUUCCAGAUAUGCUAUAAAUCCCUAAACAAAAACCAAAAUCAAUGAUGAAAAAAGAGAUGAAAUUGAGGAUGCAGAAAACGAUUUUUUUUCAAGAUUUCACUGAAAGAUCUGGAAAAAGAAAUUGCUUGAAAGAUCUGGAAAAACCCUUCUUUCCCGAUCUUGUUAAUCUUCAUCCAGAUCCAAACUCAAAAAUCAAAAAUGAAAAACAACACAGAUUAGCAAACCAACUUCUAACAUUGAUUUAAAAAAAUUAAGGGAUUUUUACCUGUGUGGGUCUCAAAGAACAAAAGAAAAUUGAGUUUUGUUCCUUGUUAGGUACGUGGAUCUGAAAGAACAAAAGAACAAUCAUGUAAUAUAAGAUUCAAGCUUUUUAUCAAGACCCUAAGCGAACAGUCAGUGAGAGAGAGAGAGAGAGAGAGAGAGAGAGAGAGAGAAAGAGAGAGAGACGUUACUCAUUAGCCGGGUUUUGUUCCUGUUCACGAACAUUUGAAGACCUUGGGCUUAGUUACCCGCUUGAUCUGAUGACUCCCGAUGCCUGUAGCCGCCAGACCCACCGCGUCAAUGUUGGUGGUGGAGGUGACAAUCAAGGUUCUUCGAGUGAGAACCGAUAGAUUUUUCACGAAGCGUGUGAGAAGUUUUGAAGGGAUGGUGUGGAAGGGAGAGCACAGGAGAAGGCGCUUUCAAGCGAACUGAUGAAUUUCUUUAGAGAGAGAGAACGUGAGUCGGGGAACAGGGAGUACGGUAGAAAGUGGAACAAAGUCUACAGGCUACAGUGUAAAUGCAUUGUAGUAGUGUGAUGUGCUCUUAUCUAUAGUGUUUAACAUUUCCACAAAUGUUAAUGUUUACAAUUUCUUUUACAUUAACUUUGAAGAAUUUUUUUUUUUGGAUAAUCAAUUUAGGAUGAAUGUACGGC